GCGUUUUAAGCUAUAUUUAGGACUUGGGGUUUAUUUCCCCAACCUCCCCAUUCACGAAAAAUCUCUCUAAACUCAGAGACAACAAAUCCCAAAUCUCAAGAACCUUCCAAGUUAAGUUUUAUCAUGAUUCUAGGUUGAAUCUAAGUCCCCAAAGCCCUUCAAAUCCAUAGGGUUAUGAUUGGAAUAUUAUUGUUGGAUGUGGAAACCCUAGAACCCGAAUUCAAGAGGAUUGAACUUCAAAAAGAUGGAAGUUGAAGGGAUUGAAGGACAUUGUGAUACGCUCAAAAGCAGGAAGUAAGGUACUGAUAUACAAGACGACACAUCUGCUCAGUAGGACAACAUUCGUAUCAGCUUAUUGGUGAGCCCCAUCUCAUUCGGGGUUUAGUCAACUUUUAUCUUAUGAUUAAUUAUGCAUCUAAAGGUAUGCUGGGGUCCCAGUAAGCAUGUUUUCCAGUCAGACUCAUGAUAGAGGUUUCAUAGA